AGAGCGAACGCUGGCGGCAGGCCUAACACAUGCAAGUCGAGCGCCCCGCAAGGGGAGCGGCAGACGGGAGAGUAACACGUGGGAACGUACCCUUUGGUUCGGAACAACACAGGGAAACUUGUGCUAAUACCGGAUAAGCCCUUACGGGGAAAGAUUUAUCGCCGAAAGAUCGGCCCGCGUCUGAUUAGCUAGUUGGUGAGGUAACGGCUCACCAAGGCGACGAUCAGUAGCUGGUCUGAGAGGAUGAUCAGCCACAUUGGGACUGAGACACGGCCCAAACUCCUACGGGAGGCAGCAGUGGGGAAUAUUGGACAAUGGGCGCAAGCCUGAUCCAGCCAUGCCGCGUGAGUGAUGAAGGCCCUAGGGUUGUAAAGCUCUUUUGUGCGGGAAGAUAAUGACGGUACCGCAAGAAUAAGCCCCGGACUAACUUCGUGCCAGCAGCCGC
rnacentral:rRNA from 1 species